ACCAGAACCCCUGGAUGGAAUUACAGCCUUUUAAUUUACAACUUGGGUUCUUGAAGAGAAGUCCUCUGACCAGCAGCCUGAUCACCUGGAAAUUUGUUAGAAAUGUAGGUUCCUGGGCCUCCCGAGAUUGACUGCUCAGAAGUUCUGGAGAUGUCACUGCCACUCUCACCAGCUCCAUCUUCAUCCCGCCGAGUCCCAUCUUCCUUCUCACCAGCCUGGUAUUUUUGAACGUACAUUUGAAUUGCAACAGUCGGCAUCAAGAUGGUGGGAAAUAGCAGUUGAGAUUUCUCAAUUAGAAGAUUGAAAAGUCUAAGGCUGGACAAACAAACAAACAAUGAGAGGUUAAGCCUGAGUUUGGUCUUCUGUUACUUGGAACUGAAAUAAUGUGCAUUGACACACCUAUCAAGUCAAAGUAUUGUCUUUUGCUGGUCUGCUCUGGUCCUGGAAACAUCCACUGAUAGAAUCACUGGUCUGGGACAAAUUGUGGUACCCAAAGACCUCAGGAAGCACUUAGAAGCAUUACUCCUGAAGUCCCAUUCGUCCCAAGAAGAGUUGCUGGCUGGAGGAGACAAUAUGUAAACAUGUCAUGACAAGAUGGUGUGGUGAGUGCUAUGUUGGCAUGUUGGAGGCAAGCAUAGCCAUGCUCACAGUGAGGAAUGACUUAGGAGCGCAACCACAGCCCCAUGCUGCCUUCCACCAUUUGGAUAAAAGAAGGAAAAUGCCUUCAAAUUGCGAUGUAAGCUCUGUCCAGAGAAUUCAGGGAUGGUUUUACCCAACAGGAUUUGUGAGGCAUCAACCACCCACCAAGCACUGUUCUAGGUGGGGGAGUCACUGCAGUGAGCAAAACAAAGUCCUUGUCUGCAUGGAUCUUUCAUUCCAGUUGGGGUGGGUAACAAUAAACACAUAAGCAAUAAGCAAUUGAAGACAGGAGAGAAUACAAAUGGCAUGAAGAAAAAUAACACUACUGAGUGAUUGAGAGCAGGGCAGAGGGAAAACCUGUCUAGGGAGGUAACGGAGAAGAAGAGACCUGAGGAGGAGCGCAAAGUGAAUCACAGAGCCACGUCAGAGAGGAUGCUCCAGGCAGAACAAAUACAAGAACAGAGGACCCAGAGCUGGGACCACAGCCAUCAAGUUUGAGAUAAUCUGUUAUGGAAACAUAAGAAGCUAAUACAAGAUGCAGGAGUGAAGCAGGGAGGUCUGGAAAAAAGCUGUUGCAAAAAUACAGUAGAAUGAAAGGAUUGCUUCUGCUUUAACCUCUGAUGCUUUAUCAAGGCCGAGCUGAGGGCUGCACCAUCGGGAGCUUGGUGAGGAAACUGAGGCACAGAGAGAUGAAGGAACUUGCCCAAGGUCACACAGCUGAGGAACCCAGGCACUCAGAUUCUGGGGCCUCCUCUCAUAACCACAAUGCUACAUCCCUGCCUCUAACAUCGGGACAACCAGGCCUUCCUCACAGGCAUUAUCGGGACUAUAAGAUAAGAUGCAUAAGGUUUUAUCUCCAGAGAGAAGGCAGCUAUGGUCCAAGGUCAAACACAGAGGCUACAGCUAGAAACCUCUAGACCAAGUUUGGUCCAUAUGGUGUUCUCUAUAGAGUUUCUUUCUUUUUAAUUUGGAUUUUUAAUACUUUAAAAUUAAGAGCACACACAUAACAGUAUCCUUUUCCAGCUUCCUUAAACAAUAUCUGAACAUUUGGCCAAAGUAGAUCCCUGCUGGGGCAUGAAAUAAUCAGCUGAUGCCCAGUUUCCCUCGGUCCUCACCAUCCUCUCACGCCUUCCCCUCCUGAGGCUACCGUCAGAGGCCAUUUCUCAUCCUGCAUGCACUGUAGCAUUUCUGACACUAGGUACACUUCGCUCGCUAUCUGCCUGGCCUCUGUGGGCAUGAGGGUUUAUAGACAGAGCAAAACCAAGUAGUCUGUGGGGGUGCGUGCCUAUCAUUUCCAAAGGGAGCCACAGGUCGGUCAUUUGCUAUCUAUGAGAUUCAAAGGUCAGGGUCUUCUCAGAGAGUAAACUCACGAAGGUACGUAGGAAUAUCUUGCAGGCAUUUCUUUCCAGCAUGCCACAAACCAGUGGUCUCACAGGGCAUGGUGUUUUAGUGAGAGCUGGGGCUAAACAUAAUGUUUUCAGCUUUUUUUUCCUUGCAUUUUUUUUCUCAGCUCUGGUCUUCUUCUUGGCAUUUUUGACACAUACCACACGCUGGCCCAUCAUUUCCUUCUGGUUACCCAGGUGUUCCAAAAGAUCCCCCCAAGGUGAUCCAAAAGAUCCGUUCUCCAGGGCUCAGAUCUGAAAGUGUAGUUAUGUUACCUGGGAGAGAUGACAUGAACACACCAUUUUCCCAAGCAGGGCAACCAUCAAGGUUUACUCUGAUGGAUACCCUGACUGGUCAAUGGGAAGACAGGCCACCACCCCCUCCCCUCUGCUUUCUUCCUGAGAGGGUUCCUAACUUCUCUGAAGUUAAGUUGAGCGUCCACAUCUAAAGCCCCAGGAUGAGCCUCCUGGUGGAGGAGAGUGCUCCUGCCUCUCCUGCCUCUCUUUAUGGAUUGUAUAUCAAGGAGACACCCGCAAGGACUCUGGUGGCCUGGACAUACUUCUGGAAGGCUGACUCUUCCAGACAGAUGAAACCAAAGGACUGGACAGUGUUGAAUCCUUGGGGGGAAGAAAAACCAACACUUUUUUUAAAGCUGACAGCACAUUCCAUCCACUCGGCAAUGUAGAACUAAUGAAGAUAUAAGUGUUGAGAUGUUUCCCAAAAUGCCUCACAAAUAUUCUGGGAUGUCACCUUUUGCAAUGGAUCUGCAGGUUCCAUCGUGCCCUAGCUUUUUGCCUGAGGGGAGGCUCUGGCCAUGGGUCCCUUUUCAGGUCAGCAAGAGUGCCGUGCAGAGCAGGAGCCCCAUCCAACGCUCUACAGGUAUACCAUCCAAUACUGUCCAAUAUUGUAGCCAUAUGUGACUAAUGAGCACUUGAAGUGUGGCUAGACUGAGAUGUGCUGGAAGCACACAAACACAACUGAUUGUGUGUUUGGAUGUACUGGAUUAAAUAAAAUACCUUAUCAAAGUU